AAGAGAGUGGAAUGGAUUUUGGGGCAUUAAGGGUGAAAAACUACCAUUGGGCAUGCACCUACAAAAAUGCUGACUUUGAGCUUUAUAAAAGCAUCAAUCCAUUAAGGUAAAGCUAAACAUAUGAUGAAUGCACAGUUAUUAACCAAUUACCACUGUGUAAACUCUCCAUAAAUAAGAACUAAGAAAUACAAGAUUUUAUUAAUAUUUAGGCUUCAAAGCAAAACUAAUGAAGAAUCUCGUCCGAUUGAGAGUUUACUUGAUCCUGAAAUUGAAGCUGAGAAGUCGAUAGGAAGACCAAUAUUAGUUCCAAAGCAAGGUAUUUUAUUCUCUUCUCCUCCAUUUUCCUCGAUUUUCCUCCACCCACUUUUGCUCAUUUUUCGUAAUGCCCUUUCAAAUUCUCCUUUUUCAGAAAAUGCUUUUCAAGUUCUCGUGUUUUCUCAUUUCACUAGGAGCGCCUUUUCAGGUUUUUACUCCUAUAUUUUUCUUCUUCUUCUUUUUCCCCCCUUUUUUAUAGAAAAUUAACAACAGCUCG
rnacentral:misc_RNA from 1 species